UCCAAAACUGUCAAAACUUUUCAUAAAACCAAAGUUCUUGAAGAAUUCAAUUUCACUAUGGGAGAUCAGCAACCGAAAGGGCAAAUGACAUUGGAAAGAAGUGACUGAAACUUUCUGCUUCAAUUUUUCCUUUUUCUUUUUAUACUUCUUAACUUUCGGCGAAUGUAGGACAGGCAGAAACGAAGCACAAUUUAAGGUCACCGUGUGCCUAAGAUAGCCAGGGAGAGAGAUGAGUGACAUUCGAAAGCACAAAUCGGAGCGAAAAAAGUGAGCAAUGCGGUAGGAGAAACAAAGAAAGAGACAUAAAUUGAGUUGUCAUGCAUUUGGACGAUUGGCUUCGUUUGCCCAUUUGGAUUGUUGUGAAAACCCUCGGCCUGUCGUUGGUUAGAAAUUCGGUUCACUGUUGUUUGGUAUAGGCUCGCUUGUGAUGAUGAUGAUGAUGAUGAUGACAACAACAACCUGUGUACACCUAAUAUUUGCGUUCCACACACAUACAAACACAUAUAUGCAUACACACACGCGUACAUGGUGAGUUAAGGUCUAAAUCAGGGAUCAAUGGCAAAGCUCAAAAGUCCCAAUUACAUUUCAAUUUGAAAAGUGAAUCUAUUCUGAAUUUAAUUGACCAUUUAAGCUAUACGACAUGAGCGCUAAGAGUGCGAUAACGGUAAACCUGCAUGCAGAGAGGCUGCAGUUAGCAGUUAGAGAUGUCAUGUCACACAGAUUGACCGACGACGGGUGGAUGGAUCGCCGAUUGAACAGACGACGGAGGGACCAAAAGUAAAGCAGAUGUGAAGUGAAGUGUUGAAAUUAAAUGAAACGAGCUCAGUUCAGAAACUGUAUGUGUAUGUGUGUCAUCGUGAUAGGUUGAUUGUCCGAACAAAAUGGACAAACGUUCUCCGUCUCUCGCCUGCGAAAAGGGUAUAUGGCAGACAAAAGGAUAAGGGCUGCUCACUCAGUAUUAAUGUACGUUGGCUUCCUUGAUGGACAUAAAUGUGGUUAGCGUAUGCGUGUGUAGGUGCGCCUAUAUACAUACGUGCGCGUUCACUUGUACGCCUGGAUAGUGGUUGGUGAAAGCAACUCGCAAUCCUGACACUUUGACGUAACUGCCAUUGGCUAUCGACUCUGACUCUGACUCUGACUCAGAUAAGAGGACGCCCGUACUGUUUGACCAGCAGCACAGCCACACAGCCACACAGCCGCACCGCUAUCUCUUUUAAUACAUAUAGAGAUAGUGUGGAGUGACAUUUCUGAAUUGUCCUUAAGCGCAAUUUUGUGAUCUAUUUGCACUUGUCGGCGCCCACAAUGAGGCCAAUGUUUGACUUGACUUUUGUAACAAACAAAAAAGGGCGGUUGGGCUGAACGAUUAUGGUCUACCGAGGUGUGUGGCGUAGUAGUGAACAUGCAGAUUUUGAUUGCUGAUGUAACUGUCAGCAACAAUCGGUUGCUAUUAUGACCACAGCAUACACUCUUUCCCAUCGCUCUUCUGUUUUGAAUUGGAUAGUUGAAAAAUGAAAAUUAAAAUAGAAAUGGAGAAUAACAAACUUAACCUUUCGACUUAGUUAUUUUGUCAUUCAAAUAAGAGAGUUGUCUGAAAACGCACACACGCACAUCUCUUAAAUAUACUGUUAUGCGGGUCGCUGCUGGGCUGAGAUGCAUGGUUGGGAGUGAGAAUGAUCGAAAUUGCCAUAAAACGCCGUUUGGUUGUCAUACAAGUAAGGGUUAAAAAACGCGUUCUUGAGUCAGAACUCCGCCAAUUAAGUGACUAGGCAAGUGAAAUUCGGUCAAAAUGUAGCUUUUUAUUAGUGAAUACACAACUGUGAAAAUCACUAAAAUUCGAUUACAAAAACAUGUAGCUGCCAUACAACUUUUUGUUGAAAAACUGCAUUUUAUGGUGCAACUUAUUCAAAUAUGCCACAAAAAACCAUAAAAUUUUCAAUUUCUUUGCUUAUCAUAAGCAGAUAGUUGGGAGUGAAAAUGACCGAAAUUGGAAUAAAAUAUAGUAAGGCUGCCAAACAAAGAAGUGCUCAAAAACGAGUUUUUGAGUCGCAACUCCUCCAAUUAAAUGACCAGGCACGUUAAACUCGGCAUUUUGGUAACUUGAACAUGAACAAACAUCCAACAAUGAAAAUCAUCAAAAUCGGAAUGGUUUAACAUAUAUGUAGCUGCCAUCAAACUGCUUGUUCAAAAACUCUAUUUUCGUAAUCUACUCAUUUUUAAAAUAACACUUCUGAUUCAUUUGGAUACCAAAUAUCGUUUUCCGUAAAUAUUUUUAACACGGAAAUUGAAUUUGCUUUCAUUUGUGUAGGGCAUAAAAGCGAAGCCUUUUUAUUUUUCUCUUUGCGUUGUUGUAAAGCAAUAAAUUCAAUUUGCUCAAUUGUCAGUUUGUGAUUUUGUUAGCAUUGGUGUUGUUGUUUUUAUUGC